rnacentral:rRNA from 1 species
GUGGGGAAUAUUGGACAAUGGGCGAAAGCCUGAUCCAGCCAUGCCGCGUGUGUGAAGAAGGUCUUCGGAUUGUAAAGCACUUUAAGUUGGGAGGAAGGGCAGUAAGUUAAUACCUUGCUGUUUUGACGUUACCAACAGAAUAAGCACCGGCUAACUUCGUGCCAGCAGCCGCGGUAAUACGAAGGGUGCAAGCGUUAAUCGGAAUUACUGGGCGUAAAGCGCGCGUAGGUGGUUCAGCAAGUUGGAGGUGAAAUCCCCGGGCUCAACCUGGGAACUGCCUACAAAACUACUGAGCUAGAGUACGGUAGAGGGUAGUGGAAUUUCCUGUGUAGCGGUGAAAUGCGUAGAUAUAGGAAGGAACACCAGUGGCGAAGGCGACUACCUGGACUGAUACUGACACUGAGGUGCGAAAGCGUGGGGAGCAAACAGGAUUAGAUACCCUAGUAGUCC